rnacentral:rRNA from 1 species
UACAGAGGGUGCAAGCGUUAAUCGGAAUUACUGGGCGUAAAGCGUGCGUAGACGGUCAUGUAAGUCGGGUGUGAAAGCCCCGGGCUCAACCUGGGAAUUGCAUUCGAGACUGCACGGCUAGGGUGCGGAAGAGGGAAGCGGAAUUUCCGGUGUAGCGGUGAAAUGCGUAGAUAUCGGAAGGAACACCAGUGGCGAAAGCGGCUCCCUGGUCCAGCACCGACGUUCAGGCACGAAAGCGUGGGGAGCAAACAGG